rnacentral:rRNA from 1 species
UACGAGGGGGGCGAGCGUUGUUCGGAAUUAUUGGGCGUAAAGGGUGCGUAGGCGGUUUGGUAAGUCUUGUGUGAAAUCUCCAGGCUCGACUUGGAGUCUGCACGAGAAACUGCCGGGCUUGAGUGUGGGAGAGGUGAGUGGAAUUCCUGGUGUAGCGGUGAAAUGCGUAGAUAUCAGGAGGAACACCUGUGGCGAAAGCGGCUCACUGGACCACAACUGACGCUGAUGCACGAAAGCUAGGGGAGCAAACAGG